CCAAGCCGGAGGACUGUGCUGUGCCUCUCUCGCCCACAUUUUCCCCAAGCACUCUCAGGAACCUGGCAACAGACUGAGAGAAAGGAAUGAAAGGAUGGAAGAAUUACAAGAUCAGGCACUGCUGUCUGUCUGUUCCACGGAUGUAACCACAGCACACGCGUGGCUCACGGUACUAGUGUGAUAAAUGCUUGUUACAUGAAGGCGUGAACAGGGAUGAGAAGAGACUUCCUGGAGAAACAAAAGGACUAACAAUCAGGAAGGGGAGGUGAUCGGGGCAGGAGUAAAGUGGACACCUCAGCAAAGCCAUUCGCUGUGAUCUCUGAUUGUGCAGUGUCAUGUCCUGUCACCAGAGCCCCCUCGUGUUUGAUGUUGGCCAAUGCCGCCAGCAUGAUCUAGCAGGCCAAAUCCUAAUCUACCAUUCUCUGACACCAGCUGGUCCCCUGGGUCGUCCACCCGAUGUCCCCCAUUCUCCCCACUUGGCCUCCCCCACAGGCUCUCGGCAAAGGACCGUGGGAGGCACCUGUGACACUGCCCUUUUCCUGUGCAGCUGUUUUUCUUCUUCAUUCUUUUCACUCCUCGUUACUCUUUUUUUUUUCACUCUCAGCCCACACAAAACUAGGAACUUUGUUAUUCUACUUAUUUUUCUGUACUCUGUCUGUUUGCACACAGAUGGAUAUCUGAGAGCCAGCGAACUUUCUUUACCUCCUAGUAUCAUUUCAUGAAAAUUAGUAGCACCUGCACAAUGGGGCCUUGGAGACAGGAAUAAAAGGAAAAAUCUGGAAUGGAAUCACAUGACGCAACAGGCUAUGAAGACUCCCUGCCCGGCUGCUAUAUGUCUGGUAAACAGAAUAAAUAGUACUUGAGC
rnacentral:lncRNA from 1 species